rnacentral:rRNA from 1 species
GACGAACGCUGGCGGCGUGCCUGACACAUGCAAGUCGGACGGUUCUUGCACCUUCAAGCUUGCUUGUUGGUUCAAGGAUAGUGGCGGACGGGUGAGUAACGCGUGAACACCUACCCAUUGGAGGGGUACAACCCGUCGAAAGGCGGGCUAAUACCGCGUAAGCCGUGAGGUGAAAGGCUGCUCUUUGGUGGCUGCCGAUGGAUGGGUUCGCGUCCUAUCAGCUGGUUGGUGGGGUAACGGCCUACCAAGGCUAAGACGGGUAGCCGGUCUGAGAGGAUGGCCGGCCACACUGGAACUGAGACACGGUCCAGACUCCUACGGGAGGCAGCAGUGGGGAAUCUUGGGCAAUGGGGGAACCCUGACCCAGCGACGCCGCGUGAGGGAUGAAGGUUUUCGGAUCGUAAACCUCUGUUGUACGGGAAGAAGGAUGUGACGGUACCGUACGAGUAAGCCCCGGCAAACUACGUG